UACGUAGGGGGCAAGCGUUGUCCGGAAUCAUUGGGCGUAAAGAGCGUGUAGGCGGCCCGGUAAGUCCGCUGUGAAAGUCCAGGGCUCAACCCUGGGAUGCCGGUGGAUACUGUCGGGCUCGAGUCCGGAAGAGGAGUGUGGAAUUCCUGGUGUAGCGGUGAAAUGCGCAGAUAUCAGGAGGAACACCGGUGGCGAAGGCGGAUCUCUGGGCCUUACCUGACGCUGAGGCGCGAAAGCUAGGGGAGCGAACAGG
rnacentral:rRNA from 1 species